rnacentral:rRNA from 1 species
CCUACGGGAGGCAGCAGUCGGGAAUAUUGCGCAAUGGAGGAAACUCUGACGCAGUGACGCCGCGUGCAGGAAGAAGGUUUUCGGAUUGUAAACUGCUUUAGACAGGGAAGAAAAAAGACAGUACCUGUAGAAUAAGCUCCGGCUAACUACGUGCCAGCAGCCGCGGUAAUACGUAGGGAGCAAGCGUUAUCCGGAUUUAUUGGGUGUAAAGGGUGCGUAGACGGGAAUGCAAGUUGGUUGUGAAAUCCCUCGGCUUAACUGAGGAACUGCAACCAAAACUACAUUUCUUGAGUGCUGGAGAGGAA